rnacentral:rRNA from 2 species
UUNCUAACCCUUCGACAUGCCACUAACGAAACAGAGAUGCAUCAGGUGCCCGAAAGGGAAAGUGGACACAGGUGCUGCAUGGCUGUCGUCAGCUCGUGUCGUGAGAUGUUGGGUUAAGUCCCGCAACGAGCGCAACCCUUGUCUCUAGUUGCUACGAAAGGGCACUCUAAGAGACUGCCGGUGACAAACCGGAGGAAGGUGGGGAUGACGUCUAGUCCUCAUGGCCCUUAUGGGUAGGGCUUCACACGUCAUACAAUGGUGCGUACAGAGGGUUGCCAACCCGCGAGGGGGAGCUAAUCCCAGAAAACGCAUCGUAGUCCGGAUCGUAGUCUGCAACUCGACUACGUGAAGCUGGAAUCGCUAGUAAUCGCGGAUCANCAUGCCGCGGUGAAUACGUUCCCGGGUCUUGUACACACGAAA